CAGGAAUUUAUGUGAACUUCCUCAUAAACCGGAGUUUGAGAUAGGCAAUGAGAAGGAAGAUAACAGUCAUGCAUAAGAGAGCCACUAUGUUCUCCCACAUUGCCAUGUUAGUAGGUGCGAUUCCUUGGCUGAUCAGGUAAUCUUCACCAGAGCACCUUACUCCUGAAGUAACUGGUGGACAAGCGGUUGCAUUUCCCACAGACACUGUAACGUUUGGUUU
rnacentral:lncRNA from 1 species